UGAGGUAAGUUCCCGUCGGAGAAUUUAUUUAUUUUUCGUGAUUGAUAUUUUUCGUAUUCCAGUACGUGGUAUUUUAUGUGAUCGUUUCUUUCAGAGAUUCCCUAAAUCCUAAUCGGAUGAGGGUGGGUUGCUGAAAACUGCGAGUGAAGCUUAAAUUAGCGAACAGUUUUCAUGCGGGAUUUCAUAUUUUACACUAUUUUUAUAGACAUUUUAGAUAUUUCAAUAUUUCAUAUUGAUUUCUCAUCAUUUGGUAUAAAUUAUUUCUCCUUUCUAAACUGCUGAUCUCUUCGCAUUUCCUCCUUGUCAUCAAACCUCUGUCUCUGCAAGAGUUUGAACGCUUUCCUGUCGAGGGGACACAAGAGCUUCAUCUGGCACUGCGCGCUUGAGGCCGUGGAGGACGCUGCUUGUAACCUAAAAGUGUGUGAGACCCGUUGGACCCCGGAAGAAGAGAGGAACGUUCAGGGUAACGGCUUAUAACCGCAUGGCUUCCAAGGUACCCACUUUUCCAUCCUUCAAGUAGGAGUCUUUCCGACCUGACUUCGCGCAGUUAUCUUAACUAGUAGAGUCUUUUAAUAUUUAGGCUGAGUUUUAAGAAAUUUGUAGUGGCAAUAAUAUUCACCAAACCGAACCUAAUUAACGACCCUGAAUCCCUUGAGAUUGGCACUAUUACAGUAGUUAUUAUAAGAUCGUAAUUGUUAACUUUAUACGAGCAUACGAGAUAAAAAUAAAUUGUGUCAAUUGAGA